GACGUAGGGCGCGAGCGUUGUCCGGAUUUAUUGGGCGUAAAGAGCUCGUAGGCGGCUUGUCGCGUCGUCUGUGAAAUCCCGCGGCUCAACCGCGGGUCUGCAGUCGAUACGGGCAGGCUAGAGUUCGGUAGGGGAGACUGGAAUUCCUGGUGUAGCGGUGAAAUGCGCAGAUAUCAGGAGGAACACCGAUGGCGAAGGCAGGUCUCUGGGCAUUAACUGACGCUGAGGAGCGAAAGCAUGGGGAGCGAACAGG
rnacentral:rRNA from 1 species